UACAGAGGUGGCAAGCGUUGUUCGGAAUUACUGGGCGUAAAGGGCGCGUAGGCGGUUCGACAAGUCCCGCGUGAAAGCCCCCGGCUCAACUGGGGAACGGCGCGGGAAACUGUCGGGCUUGAGUUCGGGAGAGGGAAGCGGAAUUCCGGGUGUAGCGGUGAAAUGCGUAGAUAUCCGGAGGAACACCGGUGGCGAAGGCGGCUUCCUGGACCGACACUGACGCUCAUGCAACGAAAGCCGUGGGGAGCGAAAAGGGAAAAUUGGUAACCC
rnacentral:rRNA from 1 species